UUCAAUUUUCUUCUCUGUUUUUUCAUUCAUAAUUAGUCUUUUCUUCCAAACGGUCAUCGGACUUUUUCCCUAAAAUCGUUAUUCGGUAUAUUUGACAAUACCGAUACCAAGUGUCGACGACUUUUUUUGUACCGUUUUUUCCUCUUUUCAAACGAAAGUUUAAAUUAAAUCAUAGCAAACGAGAACAAAGGAUCAUGGCUAUAAAAAACGAUAAGUGGCAUACGGAGAUGACGUGACGGUAUUGGGAUGUACAAGUUUAUAACCAGCGAGUAAUUAUGACGGCUGCGCGGGUGCCUGUACGGUUCGAGAAAAGUCAAUUUUUUUCGAUUAUUAAUGGGAUAUGAGAAACUGGCGACGCUUUGAUCAACACAGCUUGGUGGUCUGCAACUGAAAAUUG
rnacentral:lncRNA from 1 species